UAAAGUUUUUGAAAUGUUACUUCAUUCUAAAUUUUCUCUAUCUUGCUUUUAUCUCUAGAAUAAACACAGUGACUGAGAAACCAGAAUUUGAACAUCAGUGAAAAAAAAAUAGUAAAAACUGAAGCUGCAACAUGCAACCCAAAUUUAAUUUGAUAUCACACAUAUAGGGUCCGAGUAGUAAAACUGCAGGAUGAGCAAUCAAUAGGCAGAAUGAAAGACAGAGGCACCGUCUGUUCCUGGAACAGCAACCAGCAGUUGAGAUACUAUUUUUUGCAAUGGUUGACUAAAUAUGGUCAGGGAAGAGAGAGGCAAAAGACAGCCUGGGAGUGGAUGUUUCAAAUGCCUGGCUGCCUAUAAAGCUGAAAUAGUUUUGCUAGUGCACGGAGUAGAAAUGGAUUCAUGGGAAACAGCAUAUAUGUGGAAAUCCUGACCUCAAAAGCAGUGUUUGACCUCUAAAAAUGAAAAAUAACUACAAGCAACUUGUCUGGGAACUAAAAUUCAAGCAUGAAGAAAUCAAGUCCUUUAUCUAUGGAGAAAGAAACAAUACUUGCUUCCGAAGGGGGAGGGGGGAAAUGGAUAAAGGUGUAUGCCGGGUUUUGUUUUUUUUUUUUUACAAACUAAUGAACAUUUUUGAAUUAUUUUCAAUUAUCUGAACAAGAUGAGAUUAUCCUUCUUUGGGUUUUUCUAGCCUCUACCUUGGAUAUUUCUGUUUUCUGUCCUGUAGGUUCAAGAAACUUAGUUCUAUGCACAACACCUUAAUGGAUAGGAAAAAAACAACAGAUACCUCAGCUGAAUCAGUGAUAGAGUGAACAUUCAAGAUGAGAUGGCUGCUGCUGAUGUCUCUCUCUAGGUCAUACAACUGCAAAUGCUGCAUGAUAAGCUUACAGACCAGAAGCUAAUGUAAUUUCAGCACUGGUGAUGGAUGAUCAUCCUUUACCUGAACUUUAAGAAUUUUGGAACUAAUUAGACAGCUGAUAUGGCAUGAACAGUUUUGCUAUCAACAGAGGAAAUAACCUGGAACACAGAAGGAAAACCUAAAGGGACUACUGUUGGUGGUCCACAUUCACUCCAGUAUUCACUGCCUAAGAAAUUCAUUUCCAUGCCCAGGGUGAAGCUAUAACAAGAACCGGCAAUUCUCAGAUUGGAUAAAACCAUUAUGUAAACAACAAAUGAUGUUUCAUAAUCUCAAGUACAGGAAGAUGUUCAAAUAUCUCCAGAUGCAAAAAAGCAGAAGAAAAGCCUAGAAUUUAAAUGGAGGAAGAGGGGGAGAAGGAGGAGGAGAUCUAUGUUCUGUAGUUUAUAGAUUUUCUCCACACAUGUGGCUUUUAUCUUUCUGCAAGAAAGCAGUUCAUCCUGCAAUGUUGUAUUUAUGAGUCUAUGGUUUGUUUGUAGAAUCAAUAUUUAUUGCUGUGCUUGCCAUAAAGUCUAGUACCAUUUUACUCUGUUGAAACAGCUAGCCUUCUUUAGUAACGUAAGAAAGUAAAAUAUGAGAUAGUGAUCACUACUAACUGAAAGUUUUUAAAAGGGACAAAUUUAUCGUUCCCUAUUAGCUAUAAUAGCUUAAGAAAUCUUCAGAUUUAAAUGCAAUUGGUCUAAAAAUAACAGAUACAGAAUGAAAUUAGUUAUGAGACUUAUAUUUAUGUUUUAACUGUGCAUUUUGGGGAUUUGGGGUUAGACUUUGGAUCUUAUCCAUUAUGGCACACAGAUGGGAUCUCAUAGAUAAUGUUUCUAUCUUCUACAGAAGCUCAAGUUAUAGUUAAAGCUGAUUCUUCACUUUCUGCAUAUGAACAAAAUAAAGAAUUAAAUUAGUAGCAACUACAAAUAGGGUGACAAAAAUGUAUGCAACAUCUUUUCUUUUUCCAUUAAAUUAACACUCACUGUUCUAAAACAUAAAUUAAGCUACAGUCCGAAUAAAAAUACCAUUAAAUCACAAGA